rnacentral:misc_RNA from 1 species
GAGAGAGAGAGAGAGAGAGAGGCCCGCGCCACUGGGGGUAUAGGGAGAGAGGGUGGCGAGAGAGAAGGAAAACAUAAAGAAUUUUUUAAAAUUUUAUUUAUUUAAAGUAAAAUAAAAUUUUUAUUCAAAAUUUGACCAAUGGAAAAAUUGCAAGAAAAUUUUAAAGUUAGUAAAAAAUUACUAAAAUUAAAGGGAUUGGACAAAAUUGCAAAAUAAUGAAAAUUGGGAUUUUUUUUUAAAAUCUUAAGCCUAUAUGUAUUUGUAAACUUUUUUAUUUUAAAGCCUGAAAGAAACCAAGAUUUGUCACUUCUACAUGCACCAGUUUUUUGUGCAAUCUUUUGUCCUUAUAUUCAUAUGGUUGUAUUAUACGUUUGCCAGCCUUUUUUGUGGGUUUCUAUUACCAUUAUCCAUUAUUGCCUUUUAGGUUGGCCUGCCUGAGCAUUUUUCUCUAGAUGUCUUUCAAGCAUCUAGCUUCUGAUUUCUAAGAAUAAUUAUGACGGUGAUGUUACUAAUGAUAAAUAAUUAUUUGAUUGUUAUUAUUAUUAUUAUUA